CCCCUAGAUGUUCUGGGCCGCACGCGCGCUACACUGAACAGCUCAACAAGUCUUAACCUUGGCCGAUAGGUCUGGGUAAUCUUUGAACGCUGUUCGUGAUUGGGAUAGACCUUUGCAAUUAUGGGUCUUCAACGAGGAAUUCCUAGUAAACGCAAGUCAUCAGCUUGCAUUGAUUACGUCCCUGCCCUUUGUACACACCGCCCGUCGCACCUACCGAUUGAAUGGUCCGGUGAAAUCUCGGGACGGCGGCUUGGUCGCUUGCGUCCGACUGCUGAAACUUGAUUAAACCAUAUCAUUUAGAGGAAGGUGAAGUCGCAACA
rnacentral:rRNA from 1 species